rnacentral:tRNA from 1 species
GGAGGUGUGGCCGAGCGGUUGAAGGCACCGGUCUUGAAAACCGGCGACCCGAAAGGGUUCCAGAGUUCGAAUCUCUGCGCUUCCGCCA